AUUGAACGCUGGCGGCAGGCCUAACACAUGCAAGUCGAGCGAGCGGCGGACGGGUGAGUAAUGUCUGGGAAUCUGCCUGAUGGAGGGGGAUAACUACUGGAAACGGUAGCUAAUACCGCAUACCAUCAGAUGUGCCCAGAUGGGAUUAGCUAGUAGGUGAGGUAAUGGCUCACCUAGGCGACGAUCCCUAGCUGGUCUGAGAGGAUGACCAGCCACACUGGGACUGAGACACGGUCCAGACUCCUACGGGAGGCAGCAGUGGGGAAUAUUGCACAAUGGGCGCAAGCCUGAUGCAGCCAUGCCGCGUGUAUGAAGAAGGCCUUAGGGUUGUAAAGUACUUUCAGCGGGGAGGCGUUACCCGCAGAAGAAGCACCGGCUAACUCCGUGCCAGCAGCCGCGGUAAUUC
rnacentral:rRNA from 1 species